AUGUGUAGCGGNGAAAUGCGUAGAUAUAUGGAGGAACACCAGUGGCGAAAGCGGCUCUCUGNUCUGUCACUGACGCUGAGGCUCGAAAGCGUGGGUAGCGAACAGGAUUAGAUACCNUGGUAGUCCACGCCGUAAACGAUGAGUGCUAGGUGUUAGGCCCUUUCCGGGGCUUAGUGCCGGAGCUAACGCAAUAAGCACUCCGCCUGGGGAGUACGACCGCAAGGUUGAAACUCAAAGGAAUUGACGGGGGCCCGCACAAGCGGUGGAGCAUGUGGUUUAAUUCGAAGCAACGCGAAGAACCUUACCAGGUCUUGACAUCCCGAUGCUAUUCUUAGAGAUAGGAAGUUACUUCGGUACAUCGGAGACAGGUGGUGCAUGGUUGUCGUCAGCUCGUGUCGUGAGAUGUUGGNNNNNNNNNNNCAACGAGCGCAACCCUUAUUGUUAGUUGCCAUCAUUAAGUUGGGCACUCUAGCGAGACUGCCGGUAAUAAACCGGAGGAAGGUGGGGAUGACGUCAAAUCAUCAUGCCCCUUAUGACCUGGGCUACACACGUGCUACAAUGGUCGGUACAACGAGUUGCGAGCCGGUGACGGCAAGCUAAUCUCUGAAAGCCGAUCUCAGUUCGGAUUGGAGGCUGCAACUCGCCUCCAUGAAGUCGGAAUCGCUAGUAAUCGCGGAUCAGCACGCCGCGGUGAAUACGUUCCCGGGCCU
rnacentral:rRNA from 1 species